rnacentral:rRNA from 1 species
GACGAACGCUGGCGGCGUGCUUAACACAUGCAAGUCGAGCGGGAUCCAACCGGUGGCAACACCGGGGAAGAUCUAGCGGCGAACGGGUGAGUAACACGUGAGCAACCUGCCCCGAAGACUGGGAUAACACCGGGAAACCGGUGCUAAUACCGGAUGUCGUCAUUAGGCCGCAUGACCUGAUGAUGAAAGGAUUCAUCGCUUCGGGAGGGGCUCGCGGGCUAUCAGCNGUUGGUGGGGUAACGGCCUACCAAGGCGACGACGGCUAGCUGGUCUGAGAGGACGACCAGCCACACUGGGACUGAGACACGGCCCAGACUCCUACGGGAGGCAGCAGUGGGGAAUCUUGCGCAAUGGGCGAAAGCCUGACGCAGCAACGCCGCGUGGGGGAUGAAUGCCUUC